GACGAACCGUACAAACGUUAUUCGGAAUUACUGGGCUUAAAGGGUGCGUAGGCUGCGCAGAAAGUUGGGUGUGAAAUCCCUCGGCUCAACCGAGGAAUUGCGCUCAAUACUACUGUGCUCGAGGGAGAUAGAGGUGAGCGGAACUUAGGGUGGAGCGGUGAAAUGCGUUGAUAUCCUAAGGAACACCCGUGGCGAAAGCGGCUCACUGGGUCUUUUCUGACGCUGAGGCACGAAAGCUAGGGGAGCGAACGGG
rnacentral:rRNA from 1 species